UGGUAUGCAGAAAAUAUGUUGUGAAACAAGUGCUUUGAAUUAGGACAAAUGCAAAGGCUUAGGGCUGAUUAAUAGCUACUGCAGUCAAAGACUUCUGAGACCAGGUCCUUUCUGUCCCCUUGAGGGUCCCCCGGGGGGAAGGGGUGGCCCCGUGUCCUCACCAGGUGACACUGUCCUGUGUCCCUGUCCCCAGAAGGUCCCUUUUGUCCCCAAACCCCCCCCCCCGACCCGAGGGACUGUCCCUUGUGGACGCAGCAGAUUUAAUGAUUUGGGGACAAAACGCGCACACGGGGGGACACGUCCCCCACCUUGGGGACACGCCAGGCCCCCAGGGGUGGUGGCACGUGGAGGAAGGUGGCACUUCUGGGGGGGUUGGUGGCACUUUUGGGGACAGAGGAGCACCACGGGACAGUGGCACCUUGGGGACACGGUGGCCGUUGUGGGGUGGUGGCACCGUGGGGACGCGGUGACACUGGGAGGUGGUGGCACUUUGGCAAGACGGGGGCUCCAGGGGGUGGUGGCACCGUGGGGACAGGGCUCCAGGGGGUGGUGGCACCAUGGGGACAGGGUUCCAGGGGUUGGUGGCACCAUAGGGACAGGGCUCCAGGGGGUUGGUGGCACCUUGGGGACAGGGUUCCAAGGGGUUGGUGGCACCAUGGGGACAGGGCUCCAAGGGGUUGGUGGCACCAUGGGGACGGGGCUCCAAGGGGUUGGUGGCAACGUGGGGACGGGGCUCCAAGGGGUUGGUGGCAACGUGGGGACAGGGCUCCAAGGGGUUGGUGGCAACGUGGGGACGGGGCUCCAAGGGGUUGGUGGCACCAUGGGGACGGGGCUCCAGGGGUUGGUGGCACCAUGGGGACAGGGCUCCAAGGGGUUGGUGGCACCAUGGGGAUGGGGCUCCAAGGGGUUGGUGGCACCAUGGGGACGGGGCUCCAAGGGGUUGGUGGCACCAUGGGGACAGGGCUCCAAGGGGGUGGUGGCACCAUGGGGACGGGGCUCCAAGGGGUUGGUGGCACCGUGGGGACAGGGCUCCAGGGGGUGGUGGCACCUGUCAGGCAGGUGGAAGUGGCACUUCGGGGACACGGUGGCCCUGGCUCACGCCUGGCACUCGGACUUCUUCUGGGCAGCCUGUGGGGACAGAU
rnacentral:lncRNA from 1 species